rnacentral:rRNA from 1 species
UACAGAGGUCUCAAGCGUUGUUCGGAUUCAUUGGGCGUAAAGGGUGCGUAGGCGGCGCGGUAAGUCGGACGUGAAAUCCCUCAGCUUAACUGGGAACUGCGUCCGAUACUGGAUGGCUUGAGUUUGGGAGAGGGAUGCGGAAUUCCAGGUGUAGCGGUGAAAUGCGUAGAUAUCUGGAGGAACACCGGUGGCGAAGGCGCAUCCUGGACCAACACUGACACUGAGGAGCGAAGCCAGGGAGCAA